UUUAAUUCUCUGACAGUGUACAGUCUGUUUAUUUAUUACACAGACAUGCAUGAAACAUACAACAUGAAACAUCAUAACAAUCUGCAUACAAACAUUAUUCUACAAAAAGAAAUCUACAAAAUUAAAAGUCCUUCAUUUCAGGCUACAGAGACUCAUUAGGGUCAUUUUUAAUCAGACUUGUACAUCUCCCUAUAACUCCUCAGACAUCCAAAUCACAUUCUGCCGUAUGGCCACCAGCUGUUACCAUGGCAACUAGGAGGGUUUGGCACCUAAGUUUUGGCUGUGUCCCAAUCCAAGGGCUGCAACCCUCGGAGGCCACAUUUAAAGAUCACAUGCUUUACAGCGGUGUGACAUUCAAAGCUGUCCUGUUACAAAGAUGGACUAAGGUCUGGGUCAUUCAAAGGUUGGUUCUGAUAAGGUCUGGGUCCUUCAACGGUCGGUUCUGCUGAGGUCUGGGUCCCUCAACGGCCAGUUCUGCCAAGGUCUAGGUUCUUCAAGGGUUGGUUGUGCUGAGGUCUGGGGCCUGUUCUACGAAGCAGGAUUACUGCUUAGCGAGGUAACUUCGAGGGUAAGUUCGGGGUUUCCUGUUCUACGACGCGGGUUCACUUCUUAGCGAGGCGAGUCUCCAUAGCAAUAUACGCUGUACGGCUAACCUGCUCCGGGGCAGGUUAAGUUCCAGAUUGAACUCACCGAGUAUAAAAACCCCGCCCACUGACCAAUGAGUUCUCUCGAAAAACGGCUUGUCCGUUCUUGGAGGAUCCUAUAGACCUCGGUGCUCGCAUUGUCCGAGGAGCACUCCGGCUCGCGAGAGUUUUCAGGGAGAGUUUUCUCCGGAUGACCACCUUUAUGAAAGGCUCAUAUGGCCGACAUAUUACACAAAACAUGUAAACACGAUAGGAAUGAACACAUGAAUGAUUCAUCUUGGGAAUGAAUGGGCAUGAGCUGCAGGGGCUGCGCGAUCACAGACAACAUCUUGGUACUAUUUAGUAGCAGCGCACGCCCCUUGUAAUAACCCCGUAAAUACUGUUGUUCAGGACUGCUUACUUGUGCCUCCUACCUACUGUAAUAACCGUUGUUCUUGCCCACAUGCAACAUUUUUGUUCUCAUUCAUGAAACGCUUAAAUCGGGGACAUUUUCGGGGACAGCUUUAGCCGGGGACAGAUCAUCCAAUUCGGGGACUGUCACCUUAGUUAAAAGUUCAUGUUGAACAGUGCUAUUUCAGGGUGAUAAUGGCAUCAAAGAUUAAUUUUCUGCCAGCAUUCCCUCAGUGCUUUUGCAGCGGCGACGGUGUUGCUUUUGAGGUUUAUGAUAGAUUUGAAUUCUUCAUACUUUCUCAUGAUCGUCUCCUGCUCCUAGUUUGUAAAGUCUGCGGUCCUUCACUCUCCAGCCUGCUGCUCUGACACUCCAGACUGAUCCAUGUUCGCGAUUGGUCAGAUGCGGCGAGCUCCGCCUUGUAUGUGUGCACGCGCUCAUAGCAAAGCUGGAUCUACUUAUGAGGUUGAUAACCAGCGUCGUAAAACCGCUUAGCGAGACCGCCGGCUACCGCGCUAAGUUGAGCGAGGUAGCUCUCAGACUACCUCGCUAAGUUGAACUUGCUUCGUAGAACAGGCCCCUGGGACCUUUAAAGGUUGGUUCUGGCAAGGUCUGGGUCCUUCAAGGGUUGGUUCUGCUAAGGUCUGGGUCCUUGAAAGGUAAGUUCUGCUAAGGUCUGGGUCCUUCAAAGGUUGGUUCUACUAAUGUCUUGGUCCCUUAAGGUUGUGUCUACUAAGGUCUGAGUCCUUCAAAGGUUGGUCCUGCUAAGGUUUGUGUCCUUCAAAGUUGGUUCUGCUAAGGUCUGGCUCCUUCAAAGGUUUCUAAGGUCUGGGUUCUUCAACAGUCGUUUCUGCUAUGGUCUCGGUCCCUUAAAGGUUGUGUCUACUAAGGUCUCGGUCCUUUAAAGGUUGGUUUUGCUGAGUUCAUGAUCCUUCAAAGGUUUGUUCUGCUAAGGUUUGUGUCCUUCAAAGUUGGUUCUGCUAAGGUCUGGGUCCUUCAAAGGUUUCUAAGGUCUGGGUUCUUCAACAGUCGUUUCUGCUAUGGUCUCGGUCCUUUAAAGGUUGGUUUUGCUGAGUUCAUGAUCCUUCAAAGGUUUGUUCUACUAAGGUCUGCGUCCUUUAAAGUCUGCAGCCUUUAGAUAACGACACAGAUUUUGCCACAGAAAUGUUUGCUCGAGUCUUUUUUUUACAAACAGAUCUGAAUUGUUUUUACUUUUGUCUUUGCACCUUUAAAAUGAUUGAUUUUCACUUUUAGAUCCACAUAGUGAACACUGGAUGGUUUUCACAUGACCUUAGUAAGUUUUAGAUUAAAGACAUAAAUUCAUCUCGACUCUGAGCUGCUCUAUGUUAAUAAAAUGUAGUUUAUUAGUUUGACAUGCUUUGUGAAAAAUAAAGUUCAUACAGUUUUAAGGAUCUGGAAGACUGACUGACGGGAAUAAAAACUUAAUACUGAAGUAUUUGAUUCAAGGGUCAAAGGUCAUGCUGUCAGAAAGUCGUCUUCUUAUGCUGCGUUCGAGUUACCUCUGAAGUUAGAUGUCCAAGCUGAAAAGGACACCCGAGUUCCCAGCGUUUCAGUUACCAAGUCGGAAAAAAGCAAAAUCAGAGGCCUGAAACAAGAUGGCUACAUCGACGAAAGUUACUUUAGCGCUUGCCUUCUCCAAAAAUGACUUUCAAAGAUGUAGCCAUAAUGGGAGGCCUGCCACAAGGUGGCUACAUUUAAGAAAGGUAUAUUAGCGCUUGCCCUAUAUUCAGACAAGGCAAGAGCUAAAAUUACUCUCAUGGAUACAGCCAUAAUCGGAGGCCUGAAACAAGAUGGUUACAUCUACAAAAGUUAUUUUAGCGCUUGCCUUAUAUUCGGACAAGGCAAACGCUAAAAACACUUUGGUAGAUGUAGCCAUCUUGUUUUCACCUGAGAUUUAGCUUUUUUCCGAUUUGGUAACGGAAACACUGGGAACUCAGGUGUGACAUAAUUUUCACCUCAGAGGUAACUCGAAAGCAGCAUUAUUUCGUAACUUUUCUGCUGCCUUCAAAUGGAAUUUGUAAAGUUACGUGAAGCGGCCCUGAACGGGAAAAGCUCAGGGCUCCAGUGGUAAUGAAAUAAAAACAUUGUUGCUAGGUAACCGGAAGAUGGGCGUUGUAACAUUCUAAUUCAGCCAUGGAGCCCAUCAAGUAACAGGUUUUGAACACACAAAUUUAAGCUAAUGUUAGGAAAAGAUGAAAACCACCGGGAAAAUAAAGGUUAUAGUGCAGCUGCUUAUCUGUCAGAGGAAAGGAAAACAAAGGCUCAAUAUUCAUGUGUGGACCUUAAAACUUGACUUGACCACUUGUCGGCUUCGUCAUUUCUUCCAUUGCCACCCAACAAAAACUUCACGCCUCCUCUUUUUCUCUCAUCUCUUGCAUAGCUUCAGAUACAUGUUAUGAGUACAGUGUGACAAUAACAUGAGAAAAAUGCAUCAAAAUACUUCCUACAAAAUCUUGAAUGUUCUUCAUAAAUGUAAAAAUACCCCCCAAAAAAAGGAGUGUGGUAUUUUAAAAACAUGGACAUAUUUGCUGUAGAGUCACAUGACCAGACAGGAGUUUGAAAGUGAUUCUGAUUUUGGAAAACUGCAUUUUCAUUUUAGACCAAUAAAAGGUUUUCCAGGUUUUAUGACUAGGGUGGC